rnacentral:rRNA from 1 species
UGGCGGACGGGUGAGUAACACGUGGGAACGUGCCGUUUAGUUCGGAAUAACUCAGGGAAACUUGUGCUAAUACCGAAUGUGCCCUUCGGGGGAAAGAUUUAUCGCCUUUAGAGCGGCCCGCGUCUGAUUAGCUAGUUGGUUGAGGUAAUGGCUCACCAAGGCGACGAUCAGUAGCUGGUCUGAGAGGAUGAUCAGCCACAUUGGGACUGAGACACGGCCCAAACUCCUACGGGAGGCAGCAGUGGGGAAUCUUGCGCAAUGGGCGAAAGCCUGACGCAGCCCAUGCCGCGUGAAUGAUGAAGGUCUUAGGAUUGUAAAAUUCUUUCACCCGGGGGACGGAAUAAUGACCGGUACCCGGGAGAAAGAAAGGCCCCGGCAAACUUCGUGCCAGCAGCCGCGGUAAUACGAAGGGGGCUAGCGUUGCUCGGAAUUACUGGGCGUAAAGGGAGCGUAGGCGGACAUUUAAGUACAUGGGGUGAAAUCCCGGGGCUCAACCUCGGAAUUGCCUUUGAUACUGGGUGUCUUGAGUAUGAGAGAGGUGUGUGGAACUCCGAGUGUAGAGGUGAAUUCGUAGAUAUUCGGAAGAACACCAGUGGCGAAGGCGACACACUGGCUCAUUACUGACGCUGAGGCUCGAAAGCGUGGGGAGCAAACAGGAUUAGAUACCCUGGUAGUCCACGCCGUAAACGAUGAUUGCUAGUUGUCGGGUAUGCAUGCAUUUCGGUGACGCA